UUGAACGCUGGCGGCAGGCCUAACACAUGCAAGUCGAACGGUAACAGGAAGCAGCUUGCUGCUUGCUGACGAGUGGCGGACGGGUGAGUAAUGUCUGGGAAACUGCCUGAUGGAGGGGGAUAACUACUGGAAACGGUAGCUAAUACCGCAUAACGUCGCAAGACCAAAGAGGGGGACCUUCGGGCCUCUUGCCAUCAGAUGUGCCCAGAUGGGAUUAGCUUGUUGGUGGGGUAACGGCUCACCAAGGCGACGAUCCCUAGCUGGUCUGAGAGGAUGACCAGCCACACUGGAACUGAGACACGGUCCAGACUCCUACGGGAGGCAGCAGUGGGGAAUAUUGCACAAUGGGCGCAAGCCUGAUGCAGCCAUGCCGCGUGUAUGAAGAAGGCCUUCGGGUUGUAAAGUACUUUCAGCGGGGAGGAAGGUGUUGUGGUUAAUAACCACAGCAAUUGACGUUACCCGCAGAAGAAGCACCGGCUAACUCCGUGCCAGCCGCCGC
rnacentral:rRNA from 1 species